UAGGAAUCUAUGUAGAGUGGAACAGCUCUCCUCCUUCACACCACGACACCUCUCUCAAUGUCCGGGCUAUUUCAACAGAAGAACGCUUUCAGACACCACGCUGUAAUAUCCCCAGGUUUGUAUAGAGUUCCUCCAGGAUACCACAGCGAUGAACCGCUCAUCCUCUUGGAUGGAGGAAGAACUUGGGAAGCUGCCAGCAUCAGCCAGCUCAGUGUCCGGCUACAGGAGGCAUGAAAUCCAGGAAGGGGGUUUCAUGGCUAAGUGGGGCUAAGCAGAGGAGAGCAGGGCGUGUUAGAGUCAUUUCAUGGAGCAUUUGACGGAGGGAAGUUGGACAGAAUGCUGUCGGAGUCAAUGCUUGUAGGAUUUGGAUGUUCUUUUUUUUCUUUCUGUGCUACAUGCUCGAUGGAGGUCUGUGUUUCCUGAUUCAGGGAGUUUAUUAGUAUAAUGUUAAUAAUAAAGUAAUGUUUCUUUUGGGCCUAGUUUAGUUUUCCUGUGUUGAGGAUAGUUAUAUUUAUUGUUUUUGGGGCUUGGCCACCCUGGUAACUUAUUUUCUUCUUCGUUCUGUUUGUAUUAUUUUGGCUACACUUGUUUUGUUUCUCUUCAAAAAUCUAUUUCCAUCUUUUCCCCUCUCACCUUAGCUUUAUGCAACCAUUAGCCCCAAAUGUCCCCCUACGUUUGAGCAGAAAGAUGGUCCAGCCUGAAUGUCUAGAAGAAGAUAAAACAUAUACCUUCCCCAA